AAGUCGUAACAAGGUAACCGUAGGUGAACCUGCGGUUGGAUCAUUAAAAAGUUAAGGUGGCUCGAGUCUCGUACUCCAGCUACCCAACAAACCCACAUUUAUGUGAACCGUUUUGUCUCUGGCGGCGGGAGAGUGGUGACCCUACUUGUUAGUGUUGUCGCUCUCUGUCAGCUUGGGCGACCAAGCCGUGGACAAACCGCCAACUGACUACUUAACCACCAAACCUUUUAAAAAUUUAUACCUAACAUUUAACCUGUAUAAAAUAUACAAACAACUUUUGGCAACGGAUCUCUUGGCUCUC
rnacentral:misc_RNA from 1 species